UACGGAGGGUGCAAGCGUUAAUCGGAAUUACUGGGCGUAAAGCGUGCGUAGGUGGUUCGUUAAGUCCGUUGUGAAAGCCCCGAGCUCAACUUGGGAAUUGCAGUGGAUACUGGCGAGCUGGAGUGCGGUAGAGGAAGGUGGAAUUCCCGGUGUAGCGGUGAAAUGUGUAGAGAUCGGGAGGAACACCGGUGGCGAAGGCGGGUCUCUGGGCAAUUCCUGACGCUGAGGCGCGAAAGCGUGGGGAGCAAACGGG
rnacentral:rRNA from 1 species